rnacentral:rRNA from 1 species
GACGAACGCUGGCGGCGUGCCUAAUACAUGCAAGUCGAGCGCAGGAAAUCGACGGAACCCUUCGGGGGGAAGUCGACGGAAUGAGCGGCGGACGGGUGAGUAACACGUAAAGAACCUGCCCUCAGGUCUGGGAUAACCACGAGAAAUCGGGGCUAAUACCGGAUGGGUCAUCGGACCGCAUGGUCCGAGGAUGAAAGGCGCUUCGGCGUCGCCUGGGGAUGGCUUUGCGGUGCAUUAGCUAGUUGGUGGGGUAAUGGCCCACCAAGGCGACGAUGCAUAGCCGACCUGAGAGGGUGAUCGGCCACACCGGGACUGAGCCACGGCCCAGACUCCUACGGGAGGCAGCAGUAGGGAAUCUUCCACAAUGGACGAAAGUCUGAUGGAGCAACGCCGCGUGAACGAUGAAGGCCUUCGGGUCGUAAAGUUCUGUUGUAAGGGAAGAACAAGUGCCGCAGGCAAUGGCGGCACCUUGACGGUACCUUGCGAGAAAGCCACGGCUAACUACGUGCCAGCAGCCGCAGUAA